GGGAGGCAGAGGAAGAAAGGGAUUAACUGGAAUUUUGAGCUUUCUAGCCCCUCAGGUUAUGACCUAACUAAUUCUGCCCUUUUGAAAGGCCCGGCUUUGUGGCUGCUACUGAAGCAAGUGGAAAUGUAGCAGGCAGAAUUUGGGCCUGUGUUUGAGGGCUCCUCCCUCCUUUUGGUACCACAGCCACUGGCCCCUGGACCAAGUCAUGGAGUAACUUGAGACUUUCCUCUCAGGUGACAUGCCCCAAUUCAAACCCAACGUCCCUCUGUGAUUCGGGAAGUUCAAAAGAAAAAGCAAAUAAACUGCAAUUAUUUUAUUACCAGGAAGAUAAUCUCUACCUGUGAAACAGGAAAAUGGUGGAGCUCAAGAACACAACUGUUUCUCUGCACUCUGUCUGGACUCUACUCCUGUCUCUUCUGUUCAAUAUUGUUUUCUGAUGGAGGGGCCUGCGGCCCUGGGUGAGGCACCACUGGAAAUCCUGAGACUUUGGAAGCCACUCUAAUAAUUUCUCUAUAAACCCAAGUCUCAGUCUGAAAGUCUGUGGCCAAACAGGCAAAUAAGCAGUCAUCUUGGAGUGCCAGCUUCUUUCUGUUCAGUCAGAUGCACCAGCUAAUGUUGAAGGGGGCUGGAGUCUGCAGUCUGCCUUAGGGAAUUUUGAAUGCGACCCAGUGUGGUAGGUGUGCUCAAAGGCAACCUACCAGAAGAGGUCCUACACAUGAGAUAGAAUAUCCUGGAUUGUUAACUAUCACCAUCAGGAAGAGAAAUACAAAAACGUAUACUACAUGAACAGAAUCUCUAAAGCACUGGCUUUGAGAAUAUUAAAGGACAUCAAUGGAG